GCAACCGUAGCUCAGCUCGUAGAGCAUCAAACAUGACAAACGUUUGAGACGCCUGUUCAAAUCAGGCCGGUUGUA
rfam:Cylindrobasidium torrendii FP15055 ss-10 unplaced genomic scaffold CYLTOscaffold_136, whole genome shotgun sequence.